rnacentral:rRNA from 1 species
CAGUCGAGCGAGCAUAACCAGCAGAUUUACUUCGGUAAUGACGCUGGGGAAGCGAGGGGCGGAUGGGUGAGUAACACGUGGGGAACCCGCCCCAUAGCCUGGGAUACCACUUGGAAACAGGUGCUAAUACCGGAUAAGAAAGCAGAUCGCAUGAUCAGCUUAUAAAAGGCGGCGUAAGCUGUCGCUAUGGGAUGGCCCCGCGGUGCAUUAGCUAGUUGGUAAGGUAACGGCUUACCAAGGCAAUGAUGCAUAGCCGAGUUGAGAGACUGAUCGGCCACAUUGGGACUGAGACACGGCCCAAACUCCUACGGGAGGCAGCAGUAGGGAAUCUUCCACAAUGGACGCAAGUCUGAUGGAGCAACGCCGCGUGAGUGAAGAAGGUUUUCGGAUCGUAAAGCUCUGUUGUUGGUGAAGAAGGAUAGAGGUAGUAACUGGCCUUUAUUUGACGGUAAUCAACCAGAAAGUCACGGCUAACUACGUGCCAGCAGCCGCGGUAAUACGUAGGUGGCAAGCGUUGUCCGGAUUUAUUGGGCGUAAAGCGAGCGCAGGCGGAAGAAUAAGUCUGAUGUGAAAGCCCUCGGCUUAACCGAGGAACUGCAUCGGAAACUGUUUUUCUUGAGUGCAGAAGAGGAGAGUGGAAUUCCAUGUGUAGCGGUGGAAUGCGUAGAUAUAUGGAAGAACACCAGUGGCGAAGGCGACUCUCUGGUCUGCAACUGACGCUGAGGCUCGAAAGCAUGGGUAGCGAACAGGAUUAGAUACCCUGGUAGUCCAUGCCGUAAACGAUGAGUGCUAAGUGUUGGGAGGUUUCCGCCUCUCAGUGCUGCAGCUAACGCAUUAAGCACUCCGCCUGGGGAGUACGACCGCAAGGUUGAAACUCAAAGGAAUUGACGGGGGCCCGCACAAGCGGUGGAGCAUGUGGUUUAAUUCGAAGCAACGCGAAGAACCUUACCAGGUCUUGACAUCUAGUGCCAUCCUAAGAGAUUAGGAGUUCCCUUCGGGGACGCUAAGACAGGUGGUGCAU